GCCAAAUAGCUAGCUCAACUAUAAAAAUCUACAUCAAAAAAUUAAUAAAUUUUAAUAGACUUACACACCAAAAAUCAAAUCAUUUUCCCGCCCCAGUAUAGGCGAUAGAAAAGGCACUAGAAGCAAUAGAAUUAGUACCGCAAGGGAAAGCUGAAAGAGAAAUGAAAUAAACCAUUUAAGCGUUAAAAAGCAGAGAUAUGCCCUCGUACCUUUUGCAUCAUGAUUUAGCCAGAACCCUUGAGCAAAGAGAAACUAUAGUUCUUAACCCCGAAACCAAGUGAGCUACCCCGAGACAGCCUACAUUAGGGCCAACCCGUCUCUGUGGCAAAAGAGUGGGAAGAUCUCCGGGUAGGGGUGACAGACCUAUCGAACUUGGUGAUAGCUGGUUGCCUAAGAAGUGGAUAUAAGUUCAGCCUUGUACACCCCCACCCAAAUACAUUUAUAAUAUACGGAACAGGGAAACCUACAAGAGUUAGUCAAAGGGGGUACAGCCCCUUUGAUACAGGACACAACCUGACCAGGAGGUUAAGAGUCAUAUUAAACAAGAUAUACAGCUUUAGUGGGCUUAAAAGCAGCCACCUAUCUAGAAAGCGUUAAAGCUCAAGCAAACCUAAAAAUCUAUUAUACUGAUAUAUAAAACCCACACCCCUAUUAAUAUUAGGCCUUUCCAUGCCCCCAUGGAAGAGAGACUGCUAAAAUGAGUAACAAGAAGGCAAGCCCUUCUCCCCGCCCACGUGUAAAUUAGAUCGGACCCCACCACUAAUAGUUAACGAACCCAACAAAAGAGGGAAAAGUGGUCAUAUAAAAAACCAGGAAGACCCCACACACACUAAUCGUUACCCCCACACUGGAGGGCUUUAAGGAAAGAUUAAAAGAAAGGGAAGGAACUCGGCAAACACAAGCCUCGCCUGUUUACCAAAAACAUCGCCUCCUGCAAAAAUCAAUGUAUAAGAGGUCCUACCUGCCCAGUGACUUAGUUAAACGGCCGCGGUAUUUUGACCGUGCAAAGGUAGCGCAAUCACUUGUCUUUUAAAUAAAGACCUGUAUGAAUGGUGAAACGAGGGCUUAACUGUCUCCCCUUUCUGAUCAGUGAAAUUGAUCUACCCGUGCAGAAGCGGGUAUAAAAAUGCAAGACGAGAAGACCCUAUGGAGCUUUAGACAUAAAGUCAUCUAUGUCAAAAAUCCCAGAUACGGGAGCAAAACAAAAUAGCAAUUGACUAAUGUCUUCGGUUGGGGCGACCACGGGGAAAAAUAGAUCCCCCACGUGGAGUGGAAAAUUUUCCUAGAACCGCGAGGUACACCUCUAAGUCACAGUAUUUCUGACCAAGAGAUCCGGCCUUUUGGCCGAUCAACGAACCAAGUUACCCUAGGGAUAACAGCGCAAUCCCCUUUGAGAGUCCUUAUCGACAAGGGGGUUUACGACCUCGAUGUUGGAUCAGGACAUCCUAAUGGUGCAGCCGCUAUUAAGGGUUCGUUUGUUCAACGAUUAAAGUCCUACGUGAUCUGAGUUCAGACCGGAGUAAUCCAGGUCAGUUUCUAUCUGCAAAGUCAUUUCUCCUAGUACGAAAGGACCGGAGAUAUAGGGCCCCUGUUUUCAAUACGCCCUACUUCUACUUAAUGACAACAACUCAAUUAAGUAAAGAAGCACAUAAAACACCCAAAGACAUUUGGAG
rnacentral:rRNA from 1 species